rnacentral:rRNA from 1 species
ACGUAGGUGGCAAGCGUUGUCCGGAUUUAUUGGGCGUAAAGCGAGUGCAGGCGGUUUUUUAAGUCUGAUGUGAAAGCCUUCGGCUUAACCGAAGAAAUGCAUUGGAAACUGGGAAACUUGAGUGCAGAAGAGGAGAGUGGAACUCCAUGUGUAGCGGUGAAAUGCGUAGAUAUAUGGAAGAACACCAGUGGCGAAGGCGGCUCUCUGGUCUGUAACUGACGCUGAGGCUCGAAAGCGUGGGUAGCAAACAG